rnacentral:sRNA from 1 species
UACUAAAGAUACAAAAAGAGCCGAGCGCGAACUCGACUCUCUUGUAGACCGUUAAAAAGACGGUGGCUUAUUUUUAGUGUAUUAACAC